UUCUUAGCUUAGUUGGUAGAGCACCCGCUUAGUAAGCGGGAGGUCGUCGGUUCAAUUCCGGCAGAAG
rnacentral:tRNA from 1 species